AUUCCUUAUUGAGCCAUGGACGCUUCAACUGACCCAGUUUAUCCAGAGAUUCGUAGUACCCCAAAUCAAGCAUCAUCGUUCUGAGAUUUGCAUCUCCAUUUGUAAUGUAUGCAGGAUGUUCCGGCAAGUUGAGUGCCUGACGAACUGUUGCUGGAGUAACUGCAUACUCCUCCCCUUCAUAGGAAAACACAAUUGAUGGUGAUCCAUCUGCACCACCAUUGUCAUAUGUACCCG
rnacentral:lncRNA from 1 species